AUUGAACGCUGGCGGCAUGCCUUACACAUGCAAGUCGAACGGCAGCGGGGGAGAAGCUUGCUUUUCCUGCCGGCGAGUGGCGAACGGGUGAGUAAUACAUCGGAACGUGCCCUGUAGUGGGGGAUAACUAGUCGAAAGAUUAGCUAAUACCGCAUAUGACCUGAGGGUGAAAGUGGGGGACCGCAAGGCCUCAUGCUAUAGGAGCGGCCGAUGUCUGAUUAGCUAGUUGGUGGGGUAAAGGCCUACCAAGGCGGCGAUCAGUAGCUGGUCUGAGAGGACGAUCAGCCACACUGGGACUGAGACACGGCCCAGACUCCUACGGGAGGCAGCAGUGGGGAAUUUUGGACAAUGGGCGAAAGCCUGAUCCAGCAAUGCCGCGUGUGUGAAGAAGGCCUUCGGGUUGUAAAGCACUUUUGUCCGGAAAGAAAUGGCUCUGGUUAAUACCUGGGGUCGAUGACGGUACCGGAAGAAUAAGGACCGGCUAACUACGUGCCAGCAGCCGCGGUAA
rnacentral:rRNA from 1 species